GCCUGGGUGGCUCAGUUGGUAGAGCGUGUCCUUGGUACUACAGUUUCUCUUAGAAAGAGAAACUCUAGGAAGGUAGAGAACUACGAUAGUUUUUUAUCUUUAUCAAAAAGGACAAGGUCGCGGGUUCGAUUCCCGCUCCGGGCU
rnacentral:tRNA from 1 species